CCUACGGGGUGCUGCAGUGGGGAAUAUUGGACAAUGGGCGAAAGCCUGAUCCAGCCAUGCCGCGUGUGUGAAGAAGGCCUUCGGGUUGUAAAGCACUUUCAGUGGGGAAGAAAGCCUUGGGGCUAAUACCCUCGAGGAAGGACAUCACCCACAGAAGAAGCACCGACUAACUCCGUGCCAGCAGCCGCGGUAAUACGGAGGGUGCGAGCGUUAAUCGGAAUUACUGGGCGUAAAGCGCGCGUAGGCGGUCUGAUAAGCCGGUUGUGAAAGCCCCGGGCUCAACCUGGGAACGGCAUCCGGAACUGGCAGGCUAGAGUGCAGGAGAGGAAGGUAGAAUUCCCGGUGUAGCGGUGAAAUGCGUAGAGAUCGGGAGGAAUACCGGUGGCGAAGGCGGCCUUCUGGACUGACACUGACGCUGAGGUGCGAAAGCGUGGGUAGCAAACAGGAUUAGAUACCCCGGUAGUC
rnacentral:rRNA from 1 species